UCCCAUAUUGUCUAGUGGUUAGGAUACCUGGCUCUCACCCAGGAGGCUCGGGUUCAAUUCCUGGUAUGGGAA
rnacentral:tRNA from 1 species